UACGUAGGGGGCAAGCGUUGUCCGGAUUUAUUGGGCGUAAAAGGCUUGUAGGUGGCCACGCCAAGUCGGAUGUGAAAUCUCCCGGCUCAACUGGGAGGGGUCAUUCGAUACUGGUGGGCUCGAGGCCGGUAGGGGGAAGUGGAAUUCCCGGUGUAGCGGUGGAAUGCGUAGAGAUCGGGAAGAACAUCGGUGGCGAAGGCGGUCUGCUGGGCCGUUGCUGACGCUGAGGCGCGACAGCGUGGGGAGCAAACAGG
rnacentral:rRNA from 1 species